AGUGAACGCUGGCGGUAGGCCUAACACAUGCAAGUCGAACGGCAGCACAGUAAGAGCUUGCUCUUACGGGUGGCGAGUGGCGGACGGGUGAGGAAUACAUCGGAAUCUACUUUUUCGUGGGGGAUAACGUAGGGAAACUUACGCUAAUACCGCAUACGACCUACGGGUGAAAGCAGGGGAUCUUCGGACCUUGCGCGAUUGAAUGAGCCGCUGUCGGAUUAGCUAGUUGGCGGGGUAAAGGCCCACCAAGGCGACGAUCCGUAGCUGGUCUGAGAGGAUGAUCGGCCACACUGGAAGUGAGACACGGUCCAGACUCCUACGGGAGGCAGCAGUGGGGAAUAUUGGACAAUGGGCGCAAGCCUGAUCCAGCCAUACCGCGUGGGUGAAGAAGGCCUUCGGGUUGUAAAGCCCUUUUGUUGGGAAAGAAAAGCAGCAGGUUAAUACCCCGCUGUUCUGACGGUACCCAAAGAAUAAGCACCGGCUAACUUCGUG
rnacentral:rRNA from 1 species